rnacentral:lncRNA from 1 species
UUAUUUCGAAUGAUUCAACUAUCUCAAUUGAUAGUAUAGUAAGAAGGUCAAAUAUAGGGUAACAACUUGUAAUCCUAUUGAACUGACUUUUUGCAGUUUUCUUUUUAUUGUUUUUAAUGAAAAAUAGUCAAAUUUUCAUUUUUAAUAUCAAAUUUUCGUUUUUUUUAAAUUAAGCAUUUUAAAAAAUUAUUUUAUUUAUUUUAUGCAUUUUUAGUCCAAGAAGAGUAAAAAAAAG